UACGGAGGGUGCAAGCGUUGUUCGGAAUUACUGGGCGUAAAGCGCGCGUAGGCGGCUUUUUAAGUUGGGAGUGAAAUCCCGGGGCUUAACUCCGGAAUUGCUUUCAAAACUAUUAAGCUAGAGUAUGGCAGGGGACAGUGGAAUUCUUAGUGUAGAGGUGAAAUUCGUAGAUAUUAAGAGGAACACCAGUGGCGAAAGCGACUGUCUGGACCAUUACUGACGCUGAGGCGCGAAAGCCAGGGGAGCAAACGGG
rnacentral:rRNA from 1 species